AAACCACACGUACAAGGAAAAGGAAGAACACUGAAUUCCUAAAAGCAGAUACUAAGAAGAUAAGAUAUUGAGUAUAUACUAAAAAGGAGGAGGAG